UACAGAGGUCCCGAGCGUUGUUCGGAUUCACUGGGCGUAAAGGGUGCGCAGGUGGCAUGGUAAGUUUGAUGUGAAAGCUCAGGGCUUAACCCUGAAAUGGCAUUGAAUACUACUGUGCUGGAGGUUUGGAGGGGGGACUGGAAUUCUUGGUGUAGCAGUGAGAUGCGUAGAUAUCAAGAGGAACACCAGUGGCGAAGGCGAGUCCCCUGGACAACACCUGACACUGAGGCACGAAAGCUAGGGGAGCAAACAGG
rnacentral:rRNA from 1 species